AGUGAACGCUGGCGGUAGGCCUAACACAUGCAAGUCGAACGGCAGCACAGUAAGAGCUUGCUCUUCCGGGUGGCGAGUGGCGGACGUGAGAGGAGUACAUCGGACUCUACUUUUUGGUGGGGGUUAACGUAGGGAAACUUACGCUAAUACCGCAUAUCACCUACGGGUGAAAGCAGGGGAUCUUUGGACCUUGUGCGAUUGAAUGAGCCGAUGUCGGAUUAGCUAGUUGGCGGGGUAAAGGCCCACCAAGGCGACGAUCCGUGGCUGGUCUGAGAGGCUGGUCAGCCACCCUGGAGCUGGAACACGUUCCAGGCUCCUGCGGGAGGCAGCAGUGGGGAAUAUGGGACAAUGGGCGGAAGCCUUAUCCAGCCAUACCGCGUGGGUGGAGGAGGCCUUCGGGUUGUAAAGCCCUUUUUUUGGUAAAGAAAAGCAGCAGGUUAAGACCACGCUGUUCUGACGGUACCCAAAGAAUAAGCACCGGCUAACUUCGUG
rnacentral:rRNA from 1 species